rnacentral:rRNA from 2 species
GAGUUUGAUCAUGGCUCAGAACGAACGCUGGCGGCAUGCCUAACACAUGCAAGUCGAACGAACCCUUCGGGGUUAGUGGCGCACGGGUGCGUAACGCGUGGGAACCUGCCUUUAGGUUCGGAAUAACAGUUAGAAAUGACUGCUAAUACCGGAUAAUGUCUUCGGACCAAAGAUUUAUUGCCUUUAGAUGGGCCCGCGUUGGAUUAGAUAGUUGGUGGGGUAAUGGCCUACCAAGUCGACGAUCCAUAGCUGGUCUGAGAGGAUGAUCAGCCACACUGGGACUGAGACACGGCCCAGACUCCUACGGGAGGCAGCAGUGGGGAAUAUUGGACAAUGGGCGAAAGCCUGAUCCAGCAAUGCCGCGUGAGUGAUGAAGGCCUUAGGGUUGUAAAGCUCUUUUACCAGGGAUGAUAAUGACAGUACCUGGAGAAUAAGCUCCGGCUAACUCC